rnacentral:rRNA from 1 species
UACGUAGGUGGCAAGCGUUGUCCGGAAUUAUUGGGCGUAAAGCGCGCGCAGGUGGUUCCUUAAGUCUGAUGUGAAAGCCCACGGCUCAACCGUGGAGGGUCAUUGGAAACUGGGGAACUUGAGUGCAGAAGAGGAAAGUGGAAUUCCAAGUGUAGCGGUGAAAUGCGUAGAGAUUUGGAGGAACACCAGUGGCGAAGGCGACUUUCUGGUCUGUAACUGACACUGAGGCGCGGAAGCGUGGGGAGCAAACAGG